UCCGAGUUGACCCCGGCAGUCUCCCAUGAGUCCCCACCAUCACGUGCUGGCAACAUGGAACGAGGGUUGCGCUCGUUGCGGGACUUAACCCAACAUCUCACGACACGAGCUGACGACAACCAUGCACCACCUGUAAACCGGCCGCAAGCGGGGCACCUGUUUCCAGGCGUUUCCGGUUCAUGUCAAGCCUUGGUAAGGUUCUUCGCGUUGCAUCGAAUUAAACCACAUGCUCCGCUGCUUGUGCGGGUCCCCGUCAAUUCCUUUGAGUUUUAGCCUUGCGGCCGUACUCCCCAGGCGGGGCACUUAAUGCGUUAGCUGCGCCACUGAAGGGUAAACCCUCCAACGGCUAGCUCUCAUAGUUUACGGCGUGGACUAC
rnacentral:misc_RNA from 1 species